AUAGUUAAAACCCACUCCCCUUUGCCCUCACCGCCGCAUCCCACAGGAAAAGUCGCACACGUGUCGCUGCCCCGCGAGCUCAGGCUUUUUUUUGCAAAAACGCCCUCCGGUUUCAUAGGAAUCACAGCCCAAUCCAACACACCCAAAAUGCACAGUAACCACGUGCAUAUAUUUUACAAUUAAACUCUCAUACUUAAAUUUAUUUCAACACGAAGAAGCGAAAAAUCAAUAGUGCUAUCAUCUUCACAGAAACCACCUCGAGGAUAUUUUACAAACACCACCUCUCACCACCCAACCGGCCACCUCCCAACUCCAACCCUAACCCUCCUCCUCAAUCCUCCCUGCCGCCCGCCGCCACCUCCCCUCACUCUCUGCCUCCCCGCCGCCAUCUCCCCGCCCCUUCCCUCUCCGCCUACCUCCGCCGCUCCCCGCCGGCCGGGGCCCUCGCUAGAGCGGCCGGUGCCCAGUGCCGCAGCACCCCACGCCCGACGCGGUUCUCCUCCCCGGCUCCGCUCCCCGCCUCACCCCUCCGUGCGGCACAGCCCGCUGUGGAUCUGGCGGGUCGCAGCCUACCUCCCGUGGCUACUCGUCGCCGCAGCCGGGGAGCAGCCGUGGAUGCGACGCUGGCCGACUUCGGCGCCCACUUCGAGCGCCUCUUCGCGUCCCCCGACGAGGCCUCCCGCCUCCGACGGCAAGGUGAAGCUGCAGCUCCUCUUGGCGGACCGCGAGUCCGGCUCCUCCCUGCCCAGAUUGAAUAAAGCAUUUAUCAUGGUUGCUGUCAUGUUGAUGUUCAUACUAUAGAGAUAAUGAUGGGUUUCUGAUCCUGGUGACUCGAAAACUUCACGGGGAGAUCCUCAAACACCUCCAAAGGUUAAGAACAUUAGCUUCAAUGUCUGGGAUGUGAGUUGUCAGGACAAGGUAAGAAUAAAACCUUUUUGUUUGGGUGAUAUUACUUUUGAUAUCAUAUUGUCUAAUAUGAAAUUUAGAACUCACUUCAAAUUUUGAUGGAAAUAUUUGUGCUCUACUUCAAAUUUUGAUAGAUGGAAAUGUUGCUUAUUACAUAUUUGAGGUUCUCAGGUUAUCAGGUACAAGCACAGUCAUCAACUGCUUUCUGAAAACUUAUAUGCAACAUGCUCUUGGUUGAGCUCAAGCUCCAGCACGACCUCGAGCUCAAGCAGUGCAAUGAGCGCCGGAUAGAAUGCGGAUAUGAGACACCUAUGAUGAAUAGUGUACCCACAAUCCCACAUUGCUCAAUGUUAGAAUAUUAACGAUGUAUCUAUUACCUUAUGUUGUGAUUUUGUUAUGAAUUUAUCCUAUACCAUGCAUGCCAUUUAUCACAUUUCAUUGCCUUUAGUUUACUUAUGUUUAAUUGAA